rnacentral:rRNA from 1 species
UACGAAGGGGGCUAGCGUUGCUCGGAAUUACUGGGCGUAAAGGGUGCGUAGGCGGCUUUCUAAGUCGGAUGUGAAAACUCUGGGCUCAACCCAGAGCCUGCAUCUGAAACUGGAGAGCUAGGGUUCUGGAGGGGAAAGCGGAAUUCCUGGUGUAGCGGUGAAAUGCGUAGAUAUUGGGAGGAACACCAGUGGCGAAGGCGGCUAUCUGGACCGGUUCUGACGCUGAGGCGCGAAAAGCG